rnacentral:lncRNA from 1 species
GGCUUAUGUAUUAUUAUUUGUAAACUUAUAUUAGAAUGAGUCUACUGGUUCGAGUGGUAAGGAGUUAGUUUGUUAGAGGUCUUGUGUUCAAAUCCCUAUGCGAGUGUGUGUGUUAAUUUUUAUUUCGGAUAUCUGUUAGAGGUUUGAUGGAGUUGGGAGUUUGAAGUAGUUAGAUGUGGUUAGUGGGGAGGAUAUUAUGGGAUGCGGUUGUUAGUGGGGAGUGGAGAUGUUAAUCAAAAUCAAAUUGAUUAUCUUUUUAUUUUAUUUUAUUUUUUUCAAAUUUUUUCUAUCUUCCCAAAAGUUUGAUGUUAGUUUUCUCUUUUCUCUUUCACAUUCUUCUUUCUCUUCUUUUUCCUGCAAUUCUGUCUAUAAUCUUCUGUUGUAUCAUUGUAUUUCAAAAUUUUUGUGUUCAUCGUGUGAUUCUGGUAAGUAGGGUUU